GGUCCGGUAGCUCAGCUGGAUAGAGCAACAGCCUUCUAAGCUGUGGGCCCUGGGUUCGAAUCCCAGCCGGAUCA
rnacentral:tRNA from 1 species